UACGAAGGGGGCUAGCGUUGCUCGGAAUCACUGGGCGUAAAGCGCACGUAUGCGGCCUGUUAAGUCGGACGUGAAAUCCCUCGGCUCAACCGGGGAACUGCGUCUGAUACUGGCGGGCUUGAAUUCGGGAGAGGGAUGUGGAAUUCCAGGUGUAGCGGUGAAAUGCGUAGAUAUCUGGAGGAACACCGGUGGCGAAGGCGGCAUCCUGGACCGACAUUGACGCUGAGGCGCGAAAGCCAGGGGAGCAAACGGG
rnacentral:rRNA from 1 species